rnacentral:rRNA from 1 species
GGCGGCGUGCCUAAUACAUGCAAGUCGAGCGAGCGGAACUAACAGAUUUACUUCGGUAAUGACGUUAGGAAAGCGAGCGGCGGAUGGGUGAGUAACACGUGGGGAACCUGCCCCAUAGUCUGGGAUACCACUUGGAAACAGGUGCUAAUACCGGAUAAGAAAGCAGAUCGCAUGAUCAGCUUUUAAAAGGCGGCGUAAGCUGUCGCUAUGGGAUGGCCCCGCGGUGCAUUAGCUAGUUGGUAAGGUAAAGGCUUACCAAGGCGAUGAUGCAUAGCCGAGUUGAGAGACUGAUCGGCCACAUUGGGACUGAGACACGGCCCAAACUCCUACGGGAGGCAGCAGUAGGGAAUCUUCCACAAUGGACGCAAGUCUGAUGGAGCAACGCCGCGUGAGUGAAGAAGGUUUUCGGAUCGUAAAGCUCUGUUGUUGGUGAAGAAGGAUAGAGGUAGUAACUGGCCUUUAUUUGACGGUAAUCAACCAGAAAGUCACGGCUAACUACGUGCCAGCAGCCGCGGUAAUACGUAGGUGGCAAGCGUUGUCCGGAUUUAUUGGGCGUAAAGCGAGCGCAGGCGGAAGAAUAAGUCUGAUGUGAAAGCCCUCGGCUUAACCGAGGAACUGCAUCGGAAACUGUUUUUCUUGAGUGCAGAAGAGGAGAGUGGAACUCCAUGUGUAGCGGUGGAAUGCGUAGAUAUAUGGAAGAACACCAGUGGCGAAGGCGGCUCUCUGGUCUGCAACUGACGCUGAGGCUCGAAAGCAUGGGUAGCGAACAGGAUUAGAUACCCUGGUAGUCCAUGCCGUAAACGAUGAGUGCUAAGUGUUGGGAGGUUUCCGCCUCUCAGUGCUGCAGCUAACGCAUUAAGCACUCCGCCUGGGGAGUACGACCGCAAGGUUGAAACUCAAAGGAAUUGACGGGGGCCCGCACAAGCGGUGGAGCAUGUGGUUUAAUUCGAAGCAACGCGAAGAACCUUACCAGGUCUUGACAUCUAGUGUCAUUUGUAGAGAUACAAAGUUCCCUUCGGGGACGCUAAGACAGGUGGUGCAUGGCUGUCGUCAGCUCGUGUCGUGAGAUGUUGGGUUAAGUCCCGCAACGAGCGCAACCCUUGUUAUUAGUUGCCAGCAUUAAGUUGGGCACUCUAAUGAGACUGCCGGUGACAAACCGGAGGAAGGUGGGGAUGACGUCAAGUCAUCAUGCCCCUUAUGACCUGGGCUACACACGUGCUACAAUGGGCAGUACAACGAGAAGCGAGCCUGCGAAGGCAAGCGAAUCUCUGAAAGCUGUUCUCAGUUCGGACUGCAGUCUGCAACUCGACUGCACGAAGCUGGAAUCGCUAGUAAUCGCGGAUCAGCACGCCGCGGUGAAUACGUUCCCGGGCCUUGUACACACCGCCCGUCACACCAUGGGAGUCUGCAAUGCCCAAAGCCGGUGGCCUAACCUUCGGGAAGGAGCCGUCUAAGGCAGGGCAGAUGACUGGGGUGAAGUCGUA